UGGGGUUAGGGUUAGGGGUUGGGGUUAGGAUUGGAUUGUGGAGUCCACCCCCUACCAGGAUUGGGGAACUGACGUCCCCCCCCGGCAGAAGAGGACAACGCACGGUCCAUCCGCCCGUGGCCAUACCUCGCCCCCAGCUCCCGCCCCCGGCCUGUCGGCUGGCGGUGUCGUCCCCGACGGACCACUGUCCAUUCCCUGUCGUAACUGAA